rnacentral:rRNA from 1 species
UACGAAGGGGGCUAGCGUUGCUCGGAAUCACUGGGCGUAAAGGGUGCGUAGGCGGGUUCUUAAGUCAGAGGUGAAAUCCUGGAGCUCAACUCCAGAACUGCCUUUGAUACUGAGAGUCUUGAGUAUGACAGAGGUGAGUGGAACUGCGAGUGUAGAGGUGAAAUUCGUAGAUAUUCGCAAGAACACCAGUGGCGAAGGCGACUCACUGGACAGGUAUUGACGCUGAGGUGCGAAAGCGUGGGGAGCAAACAGG